UUUAUUUUUCCAAGUGUUCUAUGGUCGGGGGGAGGUUAGAUAUGGUCUAGAAGGGGUAGAUUUGUCCGAAUUUCAGUCAUUAUGCAAACAAUUACCAAGAGCAAGAGAGAGGACUUGGGCUUCAAUAUGCAACUCGCUAUUUGAGGCUUUCAAUCUUGAUAGAGAUCAAGUUGACCUGUCUGUUAGGACUGCAGUGAAGUUACAGCCUGA
rnacentral:lncRNA from 1 species